UGUGUGUUGAGGCGCGCGUUAGCUUGUACUAUUACGUGUUGUUGCGUUGUGCGUUAACUUAGUGUGUAGCACACAACACGUUUAGACAGCUGUGUCGUCUCUCACAGUUAUUUAGUUAGGUUGCAUAUUACAAAACGUUAAAAAUUUGCCUGAGCGCAGUUCGGGGAGAAAGAGUUCUCUGUGAGGUGCGCUCUUGGCAGUUCACGCGCCGCGUAAAAUGUCGCGCGCGCGCGUUACACCAAAACAAAAAUACGUCGGCCGGGAGUCUGUCCUCACCAGGACCUACACAUAGGUGCCUGGCG
rnacentral:rRNA from 1 species